ensembl:snoRNA
UAGACUAUACUUUCAGGGAUCAUUUCUAUAGUUUGUGACUAGAGAAGUUUCUCUGAAUGUGUAGAGCACCAGAAACCAUGAGGAGGAGACGCAGUGUUCUCUCCUGAGCAUGAAGCAGGUGGUUGGUUUUGCUUCUGCAGCUACUACUUGCUAUUGAAGAUUGUUCUUCUCUCUCUUUGAGAGAGUAAGAGGGAGAGAAUACCGUGUGAAUGGUU